UACGUAGGUGGCAAGCGUUGUCCGGAUUUACUGGGCGUAAAGAGCGCGCAGGCGGUCGUCCAAGUCGCGUGUGAAAGCCCCUGGCUCAACUAGGGAGAGUCAUUCGAUACUGUUCGACUCGAAGGCAGGAGAGGGAAGUGGAAUUCCGGGUGUAGUGGUGAAAUGCGUAGAUAUCCGGAGGAACACCAGUGGCGAAGGCGACUUUCUGGCCUGUUCUUGACGCUGAGGCGCGAAAGCUAGGGGAGCAAACGGGG
rnacentral:rRNA from 1 species